rnacentral:tRNA from 1 species
GUUUUUAUAGUUUAAUUAAAAAACAUUACACUGAAAAUGUAAAAAUAAGGGUUAAAAACA